rnacentral:rRNA from 1 species
UACGGGGGGGGGCAAGCGUUGUUCGGAAUUACUGGGCGUAAAGGGCUCGUAGGUGGCCAACUAAGUCAGACGUGAAAUCCCUCGGCUUAACCGGGGAACUGCGCUUGAUACUGGAUGGCUUGAGAUUGGGAGAGGGAUGCGGAAUUCCAGGUGUAGCGGUGAAAUGCGUAGAGAUCAUGAGGAAGACCAGUGGCGAAGGCGGGUCUCUGGACAGUUCCUGACGCUGAGGCACGAAGGCCAGGGGAGCAAACGGG